rnacentral:rRNA from 1 species
GCAAGUCGAACGGUAACAGGCCGCAAGGUGCUGACGAGUGGCGAACGGGUGAGUAAUGCAUCGGAACGUGCCCAGUCGUGGGGGAUAACGCAGCGAAAGCUGUGCUAAUACCGCAUACGAUCUAUGGAUGAAAGCGGGGGACCGUAAGGCCUCGCGCGAUUGGAGCGGCCGAUGUCAGAUUAGGUAGUUGGUGGGGUAAAGGCCCACCAAGCCAACGAUCUGUAGCUGGUCUGAGAGGACGACCAGCCACACUGGGACUGAGACACGGCCCAGACUCCUACGGGAGGCAGCAGUGGGGAAUUUUGGACAAUGGGCGCAAGCCUGAUCCAGCAAUGCCGCGUGCAGGAAGAAGGCCUUCGGGUUGUAAACUGCUUUUGUACGGAACGAAACGGUCUGGGUUAAUACCCUGGGCUAAUGACGGUACCGUAAGAAUAAGCACCGGCUAACUACGUGCCAGCAGCC